UACGUAGGGUGCAAGCGUUGUCCGGAAUUAUUGGGCGUAAAGAGCUCGUAGGCGGUCUGUCGCGUCGGCUGUGAAAACUCGGGGCUCAACCCCGAGCCUGCAGUCGAUACGGGCAGACUAGAGUGCGGUAGGGGAGACUGGAAUUCCUGGUGUAGCGGUGAAAUGCGCAGAUAUCAGGAGGAACACCGGUGGCGAAGGCGGGUCUCUGGGCCGUAACUGACGCUGAGGUGCGAAAGCGUGGGGAGCAAACAGG
rnacentral:rRNA from 1 species